AGAAGAACUAGGAGUUCCGAUUUGCUAGCAUGAAAAAUAACUUUCCUGAAGUAACUAUUGUGUUUCCCUUUCUUACCAUAGUUUGGACACCUUUAAGCCCCUCGAAGCUGGUGAGAUUACGUCAGAAGACGGAGGUGACUAAAAUAUAAGGGAAAAAAAUAACUUCAGAGUGUCCCAGUUCCCCAGAGUAUCUGCCUAAUGGACCACGAACUGGAUGGGAGACUGCAGAAGGGCUGCUGUUCAAAAGCAGGAUGACUCCAAUGUAUGCCACCGUGAGGAUGCUUCCAGAGCCCUCAGUCAGUGAUUCAGCAGUGUGUGCCGAGCAUCCACUGGAAAAACACUACAGAAGAAUAAAAUAUUAUUUGAUGUCUAAUGGGGGGCAGGGAGAUCACCAUAAAGGAUUGCUUAAAAACCAACACAUUUCUGCAAGCUUGAAAAGAAUGGUAAAGUGCUUUGAAGACCUGAAAUUUUCCCAUAAUUCCACUGCUCUAUUCCUUAAGUUUGCGUCUGUGUCUCCACAAGCAGUUCAAGAGUGCAGUUACUCCAAAGAGCCAGAGCAGAUACUGAAGCAGCUGACAUUUUCAAAUAGUCUAGAUAAGAACACCCUCCCAGCUAACCUGAAAGAAACUAGGAUGAGUGCCAGCCCCUGCUUUCAUUUCCCAGUUCUGAAAUGGCUAUGUAUGUCACAACCUGUGAGUCUGGAAACUCAGCACUCUCGACAGGGAACAGGUGAGUGACUUUCUUAUUUUCCUGAAAAG
rnacentral:lncRNA from 1 species